rnacentral:rRNA from 1 species
CCUACGGGAGGCAGCAGUGAGGAAUAUUGGUCAAUGGCCGCAAGGCUGAACCAGCCAAGUCGCGUGAGGGAUGACGGCCCUAUGGAUUGUAAACCUCUUUUGUCAGGGAGUAAACUUCGCCACGUGUGUCGUUUUGCGAGUACCUGAAGAAACAGCAUCGGCUAACUCCGUGCCAGCAGCCGCGGUAAUACGGAGGAUCCGAGCGUUAUCCGGAUUUAUUGGGUUUAAGGGGUGCGCGGGGGGACUGUAAAGUUAGCGGUAAAAUUUCGGGGCUAAACCCCGUAGUGCCGUUUAAACUGGUGGUCUUGAGUGAACGAGAGGUAUGCGGAAGGCGUGGUGUAGCGGUGAAAUGCUUAGAGAUCACGCAGAACUCCGAUUGCGAAGGCAGCAUACCGGCGCUCAACUGACGCUGAGGCACGAAAGCGUGGGUAUCGAACAGGAUUAGAUACCCUUGUAGUC